rnacentral:rRNA from 1 species
GUGGGGAAUAUUGGGCAAUGGGCGAAAGCCUGACCCAGCAACGCCGCGUGAGGGAAGAAGGCCUUCGGGUUGUAAACCUCUGUCCUUGGUGACGAAAAAAAUGACGGUAGCCAAGGAGGAAGCCCCGGCUAACUACGUGCCAGCAGCCGCGGUAAUACGUAGGGGGCGAGAGUUGUCCGGAAUUACUGGGCGUAAAGGGUGCGUAGGUGGCCUUUUAAGUUGGAUGUGAAAUACCCGGGCUUAACUUGGGGGGUGCAUCUAAUACUGGAGGGCUAGAGUGCAGGAGAGGGAAGCGGAAUUCCUAGUGUAGCGGUGAAAUGCGUAGAUAUUAGGAGGAACACCAGUGGCGAAGGCGGCUUUCUGGACUGUAACUGACACUGAGGCACGAAAGCGUGGGGAGCAAACAGGAUUAGAUACCCUGGUAGUCC